rnacentral:rRNA from 1 species
GACAGAGGUGCCAAGCGUUAGGCGGAAUCACUGGGCUUAAAGCGUGUGUAGGCGGAUGUCUAAGUACCUUGUGAAAUCCCACGGCUCAACCGUGGAACUGCUUGGUAUACUGGAUGUCUUGAGCCAUCUAGGGGCUACCGGAACAAAUGGUGGAGCGGUGAAAUGCGUAGAUAUCAUUUGGAACGCCAAUGGUGAAAACAGGUAGCUGGGGAUGUGCUGACGCUGAGACACGAAGCCAGGGGAGCAAACGGG